rnacentral:rRNA from 1 species
UGGGGAAUCUUGCGCAAUGGGCGAAAGCCUGACGCAGCAACGCCGCGUGAGCGAAGACGGCCUUCGGGUUGUAAAGCUCUGUCAGGAGGGACGAAGCCACUCAGGUGAAUAGCCGAGAGGGUGACGGUACCUCCAGAGGAAGCCCCGGCUAACUACGUGCCAGCAGCCGCGGUAAUACGUAGGGGGCAAGCGUUGUCCGGAAUCAUUGGGCGUAAAGCGCGUGUAGGCGGCCAUCCAAGUCCGAUGUGAAAGCUCGGGGCUCAACCCCGAGUCUGCAUUGGAAACUGUAUGGCUUGAGUCCGGAAGAGGAGACUGGAAUUCCUGGUGUAGCGGUGAAAUGCGCAGAUAUCAGGAAGAACACCGGUGGCGAAGGCGGGUCUCUGGGACGGUACUGACGCUGAGACGCGAAAGCGUGGGGAGCAAACA